AGUGAACGCUGGCGGCGUGCCUAAUACAUGCAAGUCGAACGAAGUGGCGCACGGGUGAGUAAUAUAUAGUUAAUCUGCCCUAUACAGAGGAACAACAGUUGGAAACGACUGCUAAUACCUCAUAGUGUAGGAUGAGACUAUAUCGUAUCAGCUAGUUGGUAAGGUAAUGGCUUACCAAGGCUAUGACGCGUAACUGGUCUGAGAGGAUGAUCAGUCGCAUUCGAACGGAGGCACGGUCCAGACUCCUUCGGCAGGCGGCAGUAGUGUAUAUUGCGCAAGGGGCGUGACCCUAACGCAUCAUCGCCGCGUAAAGGAUGACACUUUUCGUAGAGUAAACUCCUUUUUUCAGGAAAGCGGUACCUGAUGAAUAAGCACCGGCUAACUCCGUGCCAGCAGCCGCGGUAAUUC
rnacentral:rRNA from 1 species